GAUGAACGCUAGCUACAGGCUUAACACAUGCAAGUCGAGGGGCAGCAUGGUCCUGGCUUGCUAAGGCCGAUGGCGACCGGCGCACGGGUGAGUAACACGUAUCCAACCUGCCGUCUACUCUUGGACAGCCUUCUGAAAGGAAGAUUAAUACAAGAUGGCAUCAUGAGUCCGCAUGUUCACAUGAUUAAAGGUAUUCCGGUAGACGAUGGGGAUGCGUUCCAUUAGAUAGUAGGCGGGGUAACGGCCCACCUAGUCUUCGAUGGAUAGGGGUUCUGAGAGGAAGGUCCCCCACAUUGGAACUGAGACACGGUCCAAACUCCUACGGGAGGCAGCAGUGAGGAAUAUUGGUCAAUGGGCGAGAGCCUGAACCAGCCAAGUAGCGUGAAGGAUGACUGCCCUAUGGGUUGUAAACUUCUUUUAUAAAGGAAUAAAGUCGGGUAUGGAUACCCGUUUGCAUGUACUUUAUGAAUAAGGAUCGGCUAACUCCGUGCCAGCAGCCGCGGUAAUACGGAGGAUCCGAGCGUUAUCCGGAUUUAUUGGGUUUAAAGGGAGCGUAGAUGGAUGUUUAAGUCAGUUGUGAAAGUUUGCGGCUCAACCGUAAAAUUGCAGUUGAUACUGGAUAUCUUGAGUGCAGUUGAGGCAGGCGGAAUUCGUGGUGCAGCGGUGAAAUGCUUAGAUAUCACGAAGAACCCCGAUUGCGAAGGCAGCCUGCUAAGCUGCAACUGACAUUGAGGCUCGAAAGUGUGGGUAUCAA
rnacentral:rRNA from 1 species